rnacentral:rRNA from 1 species
UGGAAGUAAAAAAUCGUAACAAGGUUUCCGUAGGUGAACCUGCGGAAGGAUCAUUAUCGAGUUCUGACUGGGUUGUAGCUGGCCUUCCGAGGCAUGUGCACGCCCUGCUCAUCCACUCUACACCUGUGCACUUACUGUGGGUUUACGGGUCGUGAAACGGGCUCGUUUAUUCGGGCUUGUUGAGCGCACUUGUUUCCUGCGUUUAUCACAAACUCUAUAAAGUAUCAGAAUGUGUAUUGCGAUGUAACGCAUCUAUAUACAACUUUCAGCAACGGAUCUCUUGGCUCUCGCAUCGAUGAAGAACGCAGCGAAAUGCGAUAAGUAAUGUGAAUUGCAGAAUUCAGUGAAUCAUCGAAUCUUUGAACGCACCUUGCGCUCCUUGGUAUUCCGAGGAGCAUGCCUGUUUGAGUGUCAUGAAAUCUUCAAUCUACAAACUUCUUAUGGGGUUUGUAGGCUUGGACUUGGAGGCUUGUCGGUCCCUUUACAGGUCGGCUCCUCUUAAAUGCAUUAGCUUGGUUCCUUGCGGAUCGGCUUGUCGGUGUGAUAAUGUCUACGCCGCGACCGUGAAGCGUGUUUGGGCGAGCUUCUAACCGUCUCGUUACAGAGACAACUUUUAUGACCUCUG